rnacentral:rRNA from 1 species
GAUGAACGCUGGCGGCGUGCCUAAUACAUGCAAGUCGAGCGAACGGACGAGAAGCUUGCUUCUCUGAUGUUAGCGGCGGACGGGUGAGUAACACGUGGAUAACCUACCUAUGAGACUGGGAUAACUUCGGGAAACCGGAGCUAAUACCGGAUAAUAUUUUGAACCGCAUGGUUCAAAAGUGAAAGACGGUCUUGCUGUCACUUAUAGAUGGAUCCGCGCUGCAUUAGCUAGUUGGUAAGGUAACGGCUUACCAAGGCAACGAUGCAUAGCCGACCUGAGAGGGUGAUCGGCCACACUGGAACUGAGACACGGUCCAGACUCCUACGGGAGGCAGCAGUAGGGAAUCUUCCGCAAUGGGCGAAAGCCUGACGGAGCAAUGCCGCGUGAGUGAUGAAGGUCUUCGGAUCGUAAAACUCUGUUAUUAGGGAAGAACAUAUGUGUAAGUAACUGUGCACAUCUUGACGGUACCUAAUCAGAAAGCCACGGCUAACUACGUG